GGCAACAUGGCAUAGUGGUUUGAGUGUUGAACUACAACUCUGGAGACUAGGGUUCGAUUCUCCACUUGGCCA